rnacentral:rRNA from 1 species
AGAGUUUGAUCCUGGCUCAAGACGAACGCUGGCGGCGUGCCUAACACAUGCAAGUCGAACGGACGAGGCCCUUCGGGGCCGAGUUAGUGGCGAACGGGUGAGUAACGCGUGAACAACCUGCCUCUUUGAGGGGGAUAACACCUGGAAACAAGUGCUAAUACCGCAUAAGACCACAUUACCGCAUGGUAAAGUGGUCAAAGGAGAAAUCCGCAGAGAGAGGGGUUCGCGUCCCAUUAGCUAGUUGGCGGGGCAACGGCCCACCAAGGCGACGAUGGGUAGCCGAGCUGAGAGGCUGAUCGGCCACACUGGAACUGAGACACGGUCCAGACUCCUACGGGAGGCAGCAGUGGGGAAUAUUGCACAAUGGGGGAAACCCUGAUGCAGCGACGCCGCGUGGAGGAAGAAGGUCUUCGGAUUGUAAACUCCUGUUGUUGGGGAAGAUAAUGACGGUACUCAACAAGGAAGUGACGGCUAACUACGUGCCAGCAGCCGCGGUAAAACGUAGGUCACAAGCGUUGUCCGGAAUUACUGGGUGUAAAGGGAGCGCAGGCGGGAAGACAAGUUGGAAGUGAAAUCCAUGGGCUCAACCCAUGAACUGCUUUCAAAACUGUUUUUCUUGAGUAGUGCAGAGGUAGGCGGAAUUCCCGGUGUAGCGGUGGAAUGCGUAGAUAUCGGGAGGAACACCAGUGGCGAAGGCGGCCUACUGGGCACCAACUGACGCUGAGGCUCGAAAGUGUGGGUAGCAAACAGGAUUAGAUACCCUGGUAGUCCACACUGUAAACGAUGAUUACUAGGUGUUGAAGGAUUGACCCCUUCAGUGCCGCAGUUAACACAAUAAGUAAUCCACCUGGGGAGUACGACCGCAAGGUUGAAACUCAAAGGAAUUGACGGGGGCCCGCACAAGCAGUGGUGUAUGUGGUUUAAUUCGACGCAACGCGAAGAACCUUACCAAGUCUUGACAUCCUGCGACGGCUCUGGAAACAGAACUUUCCUUCGGGACGCAGAGACAGGUGGUGCAUGGUUGUCGUCAGCUCGUGUCGUGAGAUGUUGGGUUAAGUCCCGCAACGAGCGCAACCCUUAUGGUCAGUUACUACGCAAGAGGACUCUGGCCAGACUGCCGUUGACAAAACGGAGGAAGGUGGGGAUGACGUCAAAUCAUCAUGCCCUUUAUGACUUGGGCUACACACGUACUACAAUGGCGUUAAACAAAGAGAAGCAAGACCGCGAGGUGGAGCAAAACUCAGAAACAACGUCCCAGUUCGGACUGCAGGCUGCAACUCGCCUGCACGAAGUCGGAAUUGCUAGUAAUCGCAGAUCAGCAUGCUGCGGUGAAUACGUUCCCGGGCCUUGUACACACCGCCCGUCACACCAUGAGAGCCGGGGGGACCCGAAGUCGGUAGUCUAACCGCAAGGAGGACGCCGCCGAAGGAGUGGUUCAUGACUGGGGUGAAGUCGUAACAAGGUA